UUGCUUCUCUUGAGAGCGGCGGACGGGUGAGUAAUGCCUAGGAAUCUGCCUGGUAGUGGGGGAUAACGUCCGGAAACGGACGCUAAUACCGCAUACGUCCUACGGGAGAAAGCAGGGGACCUUCGGGCCUUGCGCUAUCAGAUGAGCCUAGGUCGGAUUAGCUAGUUGGUGGGGUAAUGGCUCACCAAGGCGACGAUCCGUAACUGGUCUGAGAGGAUGAUCAGUCACACUGGAACUGAGACACGGUCCAGACUCCUACGGGAGGCAGCAGUGGGGAAUAUUGGACAAUGGGCGAAAGCCUGAUCCAGCCAUGCCGCGUGUGUGAAGAAGGUCUUCGGAUUGUAAAGCACUUUAAGUUGGGAGGAAGGGCAGUAAAUUAAUACUUUGCUGUUUUGACGUUACCGACAGAAUAAGCACCGGCUAACUCUGUGCCAGCAGCCGCGGUAAUACAGAGGGUGCAAGCGUUAAUCGGAAUUACUGGGCGUAAAGCGCGCGUAGGUGGUUCGUUAAGUUGGAUGUGAAAUCCCCGGGCUCAACCUGGGAACUGCAUUCAAAACUGACGAGCUAGAGUAUGGUAGAGGGUGGUGGAAUUUCCUGUGUAGCGGUGAAAUGCGUAGAUAUAGGAAGGAACACCAGUGGCGAGGCGACCACCUGGACUGAUACUGACACUGAGGUGCGAAAGCGUGGGGAGCAAAC
rnacentral:rRNA from 1 species